rnacentral:rRNA from 1 species
CCCGGUAGCUAAAUAGCGGAAGAGAUAAGUGCUGAAAGCAUCUAAGCACGAAACUUGCCCCGAGAUGAGUUCUCCCUGAGACUUUAAGUCUCCUGAAGGAACGUUAAAGACGAUGACGUUGAUAGGCCGGGUGUGUAAGCGCAGCGAUGCGUUGAGCUAACCGGUACUAAUGAACCGUGAGGCUUAACCUUAC